rnacentral:rRNA from 1 species
GUUGGCGGGGUAACGGCCCACCAAGGCGACGAUCAGUAGCCGACCUGAGAGGGUGGCCGGCCACAUUGGGACUGAGACACGGCCCAAACUCCUACGGGAGGCAGCAGUGGGGAAUAUUGCACAAUGGGGGAAACCCUGAUGCAGCAACGCCGCGUGAGUGAAGAAGUAUUUCGGUAUGUAAAGCUCUAUCAGCAGGGAAGAAGAAAGACGGUACCUGACUAAGAAGCCCCGGCUAACUACGUGCCAGCAGCCGCGGUAAUACGUAGGGGGCAAGCGUUAUCCGGAUUUACUGGGUGUAAAGGGAGCAUAGACGGCAUAGCAAGUCUGAAGUGAAAGCCCGUGGCUCAACCGCGGAACUGCUUUGGAAACUGUUAAGCUGGAGUACUGGAGAGGCAAGCGGAAUUCCUAGUGUAGCGGUGAAAUGCGUAGAUAUUAGGAGGAACACCAGUGGCGAAGGCGGCUUGCUGGACAGAGACUGACGUUGAGGCUCGAAAGCGUGGGGAGCAAACAGGAUUAGAUACCCUGGUAGUCCACGCGGUAAACGAUGAAUGCUAGGUGUUGGCGGGCAAAGCCCGUCG